rnacentral:rRNA from 1 species
UACGGAGGGUGCGAGCGUUAUUCGGAAUUACUGGGCGUAAAGCGUGCGCAGGCGGUUCGCCGUGUCCGAUGUGAAAGCCCCGGGCUUAACCUGGGAAUGGCAUUGGAAACUGGCGGGCUGGAGUGUGGCAGAGGGGGGUGGAAUUCCACGUGUAGCAGUGAAAUGCGUAGAGAUGUGGAGGAACACCGAUGGCGAAGGCAGCCCCCUGGGCCAACACUGACGCUCAGGCACGAAAGCGUGGGGAGCAAACAGG